CCUACGGGCGGCAGCAGUGAGGAAUAUUGGUCAAUGGGCGAGAGCCUGAACCAGCCAAGUCGCGUGAAGGAUGAAGGAUCUAUGGUUUGUAAACUUCUUUUAUAUGGGAAUAAAGUGAGGAACGUGUUCCUUUUUGUAUGUACCAUAUGAAUAAGCAUCGGCUAACUCCGUGCCAGCAGCCGCGGUAAUACGGAGGAUGCGAGCGUUAUCCGGAUUUAUUGGGUUUAAAGGGUGCGCAGGCGGAAGCGGCAAGUCAGCGGUAAAAUUGCGGGGUCCAACCUCGCCGAGCCGUUGAAACUGCUCUUCUAGAGUGGGCGAGAAGUAUGCGGAAUGCGUGGUGUAGCGGUGAAAUGCAUAGAUAUCACGCAGAACUCCGAUUGCGAAGGCAGCAUACCGGCGCCCAACUGACGCUCAUGCACGAAAGCGUGGGUAUCGAACAGGAUUAGAUACCCUAGUAGUC
rnacentral:rRNA from 1 species